rnacentral:rRNA from 1 species
UACGUAGGGGGCGAGCGUUGUCCGGAUUCAUUGGGCGUAAAGAGCUCGUAGGCGGCUUGGCAAGUCGGGUGUGAAAACUCCAGGCUCAACCUGGAGAUGCCACCCGAUACUGCUAUGGCUUGAGUUCGGUAGGGGACCACGGAAUUCCUGGUGUAGCGGUGAAAUGCGCAGAUAUCAGGAGGAACACCGGUGGCGAAGGCGGUGGUCUGGGCCGACACUGACGCUGAUGUGCGAAAGCUAGGGGAGCGAACGGG